UACGGAGGAUGCAAGCGUUAUCCGGAAUGAUUGGGCGUAAAGCGUCCGCAGGUGGCUGUGUAAGUCUGCUGCUAAAGAGUGAGGCUCAACCUCAUAAAAGCAGUGGAAACUACACGGCUAGAGUGCGUUCGGGGCAGAGGGAAUUCCUGGUGUAGCGGUGAAAUGCGUAGAUAUCAGGAAGAACACCGGUGGCGAAAGCGCUCUGCUAGGCCGCAACUGACACUGAGGGACGAAAGCUAGGGGAGCGAAUGGG
rnacentral:rRNA from 1 species